UACGUAGGGGGGCGAGCGUUUGUCCGGAUUUAUUGGGCGUAAAAGGCUUGUAGGUGGCCACGUCAAGUCGGAUGUGAAAUCGCCCGGCUCAACUGGGCGGGGUCAGCGGAUACGGUGUGGCUCGAGCAAGCUAGGGGGCAAUGGAAUUCCCGGUGUAGUGGUGGAAUGCGUAGAUAUCGGGAGGAACACCGGUGGCGAAGGCGGCCAUCUGGACGGAUACUGACGCUGAGACGCGAAAGCGUGGGGAGCAAACAGG
rnacentral:rRNA from 1 species